AACGAACGCUGGCGGCAUGCCUAACACAUGCCAGUCGAACGAGACCUUCGGGCCUAGUGGCGCACGGGUGAGUAACGCGUGGGAACCUGCCCUUAGGUUCGGAAUAACUCCCCGAAAGGGGUGCUAAUACCGGAUAAUGUCUUCGGACCAAAGAUUUAUCGCCUUUGGAUGGGCCCGCGUUGGAUUAGCCAGUUGGUAGUGUAAAAGCCUACCAAGGCGACGAUCCAUAGCUGGUCUGAGAGGAUGAUCAGCCACACUGGGACUGAGACACGGCCCAGACUCCUACGGGAGGCAGCAGUGGGGAAUAUUGGACAAUGGGCGAAAGCCUGAUCCAGCAAUGCCGCGUGAGUGAUGAAGGCCUUAGGGUUGUAAAGCUCUUUUACCCGGGAUGAUAAUGACGGUACCGGGAAAAUAAGCUCCGGCUAACUCCGUG
rnacentral:rRNA from 1 species